rnacentral:rRNA from 1 species
UGGGGAAUAUUGGACAAUGGGCGCAAGCCUGAUCCAGCCAUGCCGCGUGAGUGAUGAAGGCCCUAGGGUUGUAAAGCUCUUUCAACGGUGAAGAUAAUGACGGUAACCGUAGAAGAAGCCCCGGCUAACUUCGUGCCAGCAGCCGCGGUAAUACGAAGGGGGCUAGCGUUGUUCGGAAUUACUGGGCGUAAAGCGCACGUAGGCGGACUAUUAAGUCAGGGGUGAAAUCCCGGGGCUCAACCCCGGAACUGCCUUUGAUACUGGUAGUCUAGAGUUCGAGAGAGGUGAGUGGAAUUCCGAGUGUAGAGGUGAAAUUCGUAGAUAUUCGGAGGAACACCAGUGGCGAAGGCGGCUCACUGGCUCGAUACUGACGCUGAGGUGCGAAAGCGUGGGGAGCAAACAGGAUUAGAUACCCCCGUAGUCC